rnacentral:pre_miRNA from 3 species
UCCUAUGGAUGAGCAAAGAAAGUGGUUUCUUGAGAUGGAAUCUACUCCUGGUAAAGCUGCUGUGAA